rnacentral:rRNA from 1 species
UGCUUUCACAUGCAAGUCGAGCGGCAGCGCGGGGGCAACCCUGGCGGCGAGCGGCGAACGGGUGAGUAAUGCAUCGGAACGUAUCCUGUAGUGGGGGAUAACCCAGCGAAAGUUGGGCUAAUACCGCAUGAGCUCUGAGGAGGAAAGCGGGGGACCUGAAAGGGCCUCGCGCUGCCGGAGCGGCCGAUGUCCGAUUAGCUAGUUGGUGGGGUAAAGGCUUACCAAGGCGACGAUCGGUAGCUGGUCUGAGAGGAUGAUCAGCCACACUGGGACUGAGACACGGCCCAGACUCCUACGGGAGGCAGCAGUGGGGAAUUUUGGACAAUGGGGGCAACCCUGAUCCAGCCAUGCCGCGUGAGUGAAGAAGGCCUUCGGGUUGUAAAGCUCUUUCGGACGGAACGAAAUGGGCGGGACUAAUACUCCUGUCCGAUGACGGUACCGUAAGAAGAAGCACCGGCUAACUACGUGCCACG